UACGAAGGGGGCUAGCGUUGCUUGGAAUCACUGGGCGUAAAGCGCACGUAGGCGGCUUUCUAAGUCAGGGGUGAAAUCCUGGAGCUCAACUCCAGAACUGCCUUUGAUACUGGGAAGCUCGAGUCCGGAAGAGGUGAGUGGAACUCCGAGUGUAGAGGUGAAAUUCGUAGAUAUUCGGAAGAACACCAGUGGCGAAGGCGGCUCACUGGUCCGGUACUGACGCUGAGGUGCGAAAGCGUGGGGAGCAAACAGG
rnacentral:rRNA from 1 species